CUACUCUCUAGAGCCUUUCAAAGCCAUUUCCUGACGUUCACAUGGACACAAACAAGUUGAUCUGGCUGGAAGGGAGAAGCACACAGACACAGAGCAAAGGCAGUAUUCCGACUGCAGCAGUAAAUGAAUAAAACUAGUAAAGGUUUCACUAAACACAGCUAAGGACACCGCCAAUCUAUAACAGGUGAAACGCACUCGCACACACACCCCCAGAAGUCUCCAGUGCCUAGGCAAGGAUGAGAAGAUGCUUAGUGCAGAGCCAACAGACCCAAGCGGAACUGUGGCUCCUACCAUCAACUGCAGUCACCAACAUGAAAUGGCAAGCAAUGAACACUCUUGGAAACCACAGAGACUUGGGGGUUGUUUGUUACCAUGGAGAAGCUGCCCAGUACAUUUUGUUCCCUGAUAUGAGAUCAAUGAAAAUAAUUUCAUAGAAAAGCAUUGUUCAAUUAAAAAUUGAUGACAAAGACCUGGUGAGAAGAUGCAUGCUGCUUCCUCUACAUACAUGUCUCCAUAUUAUCUGAUGUAUUCAUUGCUGUACAAUAAAACGGUUUCCCCAGUAGCUUGUGGUCAUAGCACACAGAAGAGUGAUAAAAAUCAAGUUUCUAUUCUGUGCUUUCACAUUUCUCCUAUAGUUGUUUUCCAACCUCCUCCCAGGACAAUCUUCCUCCAAAUAAUCCAGGCCCUUCAAAGUGUCCUGGAACCCUUGUUACACAAUCCUAUAUAGACUACAAUCAACAUCCUCACUUCCUGUGUUCUACAUCCUGCACCCAUGCGACAAGGCACAGGAAAUGCAGGAUUCUAAGACAGUCCUCAACUACCAUGGCAAUACUACAAAACAAAGGCAGAGUUAAGAGGGAGUUACUUUUAUUGGAGUGACAAAGAUCUCUGGCUCCCCUACAAUCAGACUCAAGACCACAGAGAUUAUUGGCCUGUCUUAAACAUAAAUAAGCCUGUCUGAAAGAUUCAAGAUGCUGGGGCAAUUCCAUAGAUAUGAGAACGAUAAAAUGAACCCAAAAGUCAGAGGCACCCAAUAGCCAGGUGGAAAGCUCCUCUGGUCCUUUGAAGAAGGUGGUAGGGGAAGAACAGGAAUGAGGACAUUCUUCCCUUCCUCUAUUCAUAUAAACAUUAGCAAUGGUUUUCCGAACAAAGAAGAGCAGCUGCUUUCCAGCCAGUGGAUCAAAGUGUGAGCAGGUGACGAUGCCUGCUCUCUAAGAGAAGCCUAUCAGGCACCAAAGUGCAAAGGUGACAAUUAGAAUGGACAAGGUGUGAUAUUGGAUUCUGCUAGGACAGGCACCUGGUAUCAAUGUUCAGUCUGGCAUUGUUUCAACACAGUCUACCGUGGAUGAAGAUGACUAAAAUAAAAUAGCACCCAGCUACAGCAGGGUCGUUUUUUUUUCUUUUUUUUUUUUAAAAGGAGGACUGAUAAGCAACAAUUACCAAUGAGUUAAAUGGUAUCUGAUUACUCUCUUUCCCGGAGCAGCACAAAAUUCUUGCUCUUUACAGUAAUAGUCUCAGGGCUAUAAGAAGACAGAAGUAAAAUAAUGUAUUAUGAAUAACCAAUAUAAUAAUGCAUAUGCAUGGAUUAUUAAUAUGUAAACAUAUUAUAACUAAUAAUAAAUACACAUGAAAAGAAUGCAGAUAUUGAUGGCUUCUUUUUCAAACACAGUUGAUGGACGUAUACUGAGCCAUGCAUUUUCUCCUUAUGACAUUC
rnacentral:lncRNA from 1 species